rnacentral:lncRNA from 1 species
GGUGGAGACCCCCAGGGGCCCUGGCUUCAGGCCUGAUGCAGGAGGGGGCACCCCCCCAGGGCUGCAGAGGGCGGCUCUAGGCCCCGGUGGGCCUGGGCGUGGCGGGCAUCACAGAGUGGCCCCGUUUCUGCCCAGUGACCCCAGGCCAGCCGGCAGCCAGCAGGGCGCUGGCUGGGACUGGCCCAUAGCACCCCGGCUCUCCCAGUAAAGGGUGCCCCAGCGCCUGUCCCGGGCUUCCCGUUGCCCCGCUGCGCUGUGGCCAGGCCACGUGACACCAAACCCGGGGGCCUCUCAGGAGCCUCCAGGAGAGCGGCUCCCUGCAGCCCCGCCAUGGCCCCACCAGGUGGCGCUGCUCUGCAGCCCCAGGGCCCAGGGUGUGUCUGCCUGUGUGCGCCAGGCCAACCCGUGGGGGGGUGUGUGCAUGUGUGUGUGUGCGCAUGUGUGUGUGUAUGUGAUGUGCGUGUGUGUGCAUGUGGUGUGUGUGGUGUGUGUGUGCAUGUGGUGUAUGUGUGUGUGCGUGCGCAUGCGUGUGCAUGUGUGUGAUGUGUGUGUAUGUGAUGUGCGUGUGUGUGCAUGUGCGUGUGGUGUGUGCGUGCGAGGGCACACGUGUCGGGGUCUGCUGUGGGGCUUGAGAGCGAGGAGCCAUGGCUCCGGCUUAGUUCCCACUUUCUCCAGCCAACGCCCCUCGUCCUUAGGGCCCUGCUCAGAGGCCGGGCACCUCUGGGCACCAGGCUGCCGUGGCCUCCUGAGGCCCCAGAGCCUGUGUGCCCGCGGCUGCCCUCACCUGGCUGCACGGUGUCGUCUCUUAGCCUGUCCUUCCCGCUCCGCUGUGAGCCCUAUAAGGGAAGGUCUGGGUGUUGUUUGCCUCGGGCUAGCCAGACUUGGCCCCAGGACCUGGCCUGCAGGGCAAAGCCACCUGGUGACCAGUCUGUGCUGGGACUGACCAGGUGCACGGGCUCAGCCAGCCUGGCUCUAAGCAGUCUCUGAGAAUCGAGCUCUAUCAUUAACUAUCUUAUAAUGAAGAAACUAGGGCACAGAGAGGUUAAGUCACUCACCCCACACCACCAGCCAAGAAGGGGCAGAGCCAGCAUCCGCCCCCCCUUCUGUUUUGAGUUUAAGGUUGAGGCCAGUAAAUGACCCCGCCCCCCGGGUGGGUCUAGGCAGGAGGUGCUUCAUCUGCCUGCAGCGCUGCAGGGCACCAGCCCCUACGCCCAGAGCUGGAGGCCGCCGCUCAAGUGCCUCUCCCCCAGGAAGACUUCCCGGCUCUACUCCCCCAGCCCUUGGGCCUCCACACGCCGGUCCCAGCGUCCCCAGAUCAUUCAGGGCCUGGGAGCAGGAGGCAGGGAGCCACCGGCCCCUGGAGGGCCGAGGGGGCUGCUGGGAGCCCUGGAUGCGGUGUCCAGGGCAGACACGAAACGGCCCUGGCAGGAUCUUCUUGGACUCCGAAACCCAGUGUGGUGGCUCAGGCUACUGUCCUGAGACGAAAGGGACGCUGUCCAAGAGCAACCAGCGGCGGUGGUGGGGACUGUCCCAUUUCCAGGCGAGGACAGCUCCGGGAGGUGUUGACUUCUGUGUGCCCGUCGCAGGCCAGGACUCCUGCAGGAGUGAGCCGACCAGGGAGGGGCUUGCUGUCCCCCCAGGGGCCCAGGAGUCCCCACCUGUGGGCCACUGGGGGGCCAUGCACCUCCUGGGCAGUGGUGCCCACCAGCCUGACCAGUGACAGCUCUGUCCAGCAUCCAGAAGGACCAGAGAGGGCUAUAGUGCCCUGGCUUGCUGGGUGCCGGUCCUGCUGCUGCUCUGCCCACUGGCCGGUCACAGUGCCUGGUGGGCUCGCUGUCUGCACAGGCCUGGAAACUCUCACUGGGACAGGCUUCCUUCCUGAAGUGACCCUGGCAGCGCCUCCUUCCGCGGCCGUGGGUGGCCAUCCUGGGCUCUGCCCGCUCGCCCCUCUUUUCUGAACAUCAGCCUCCAGUUGAAAUCCCGAGGCCAGAUGCCAUCCGUGGAGCCUCCCAGCCAGGGGCCAGCCAAGAGCCACCCGGGGCCCCCCUGCCAGGGACGGCCCUGACUCCAGUCCAGCUUCUCCAUUUAGAAAUAAGAGCUGACGGCCGGCCCUCGGCAGCGGCUCUGGUGCCAGGUGGCGGCGGUGUGCACACGAGGCUGAGAGCGCAGGCAGGCGGCACCAGCUCAGGGCCAUGCCCGGGGCCGAUGCACCCUGUGCUGGGGGCCUCCUCCUUCCAGCCCCUCCCCACCCCCAGGGUCCCCCAAUGUCCCUGAGCUCAGACGCUGCUCAGGCCUAAGGCUUCACACCUGUUCUCUCUCUGCGGAGAGUCACCACCGGGAUCCGCCCGGCACUUGGCGGACAGAGCUGAACGAAUGUUUGUUGGUCGAAUAAGUGAAGUCUGGGCUUAAAGCGAGUGUCCGGGAACCCAGGCUGUCCGACGGCUCAGAGGGCAGGGCUCGAGCUGGCGUUCCGGGCCCGGGGAAGGGAGUGCGUGGCCCCGGGGUUUCCAUGGCAGAGGAGGAGGACUCCCCGAAGUCGCCCUCGCCAAGUGCUCGCAGCCCUCGGAAUGUCCCAGUUGGUACAAAUGAGCGGUUUGGAAACGCGGAGCGCUGUGAGGUCUGCCCUCGGUGUAAGGAAGGAGACCAGCUACGCCGAGGAGUGCUCCGACUCGGGGCUCAGAG